GUACACUUGAGCAGUACAUACACUAAAAUUGGAACAAUGCAGAGAAGAUGAGCACGGCCCCUGCACAGGAUAACAUACAAAUUCAUGAAGCAUUCCAUCUUUUU